rnacentral:rRNA from 1 species
GGCGAUCAGAUACCGCCCUAGUUCUGACCGUAAACGAUGCCAACUAGCGAUCCGCCAGUCGACUCAUCGCUCUGGUGGGGAGCUUCCCGGAAACGAAAGUCUUCCGGUUCCGGGGGAAGUAUGGUUGCAAAGCUGAAACUUAAAGGAAUUGACGGAAGGGCACCACCAGGAGUGGAGCCUGCGGCUUAAUUUGACUCAACACGGGGAAACUCACCCGGCCCGGACACCGUAAGGAUUGACAGAUUGAUAGCUUUUUCAUGAUUCGGUGGAUGGUGGUGCAUGGCCGUUCUUAGUUCGUGGAGCGAUUUGUCUGGUUUAUUCCGAUAACGAGCGAGACUCUGGCCUACUAAAUAGUUGACGCAUUGCCACUGUGCGCACAACUUCUUAGAGGGAUUUUCGGUGUUUUCAACCGCACGAAAUUGAGCAAUAACAGGUCUGUGAUGCCCUUAGAUGUCCGGGGCUGCACGCGCGCUACACUGGCAAACGCAACGUGCCUGUCCUGCCCCGAAAGGAGCGGGUAAACCCCUGAAAUUUUGCCGUGAUUGGGAUCGGACAUUGCAACUAUUGUCCGUGAACGAGGAAUUCCUUGUAGGGGCGAAUCAUCAACUCGUCCCGAAUACGUCCCUGCCCUUGUA